rnacentral:lncRNA from 1 species
CCUAACCUCUUGCACAAAUUCAAACAAAGAAGAGCAGACUCUUAUAGAGUCAAACUUAGGUCUGAAUGAUGAUCAGGACAUCAACAGUCCCAAAUUAGAGCUCAGCACAUGGAGGGGAAAGGGAAUGGGAAAACAAUUGAGUAAAGACUCAGAAAAGUCUGGUUCUGGAUCACAAACAGCAAUCCAUAGUGUUGUUAUGACCCAGGACAAUACUCACAUACAAAGGGAAUAAAGGGAAAGGCAUUAACAUAACAUAAGAGACAUAGCAUGCCUGAAUGUAAUUAAAUAGUACAGGAAAGCAUAAAUAAACACACAAAGAAAUGGGUAGAAGUAGAGAAGUUGAACAAGGAUGCUAUUUAACAUAGAAGAACAUACCAGUUAUAGAUUCUAAUAAAGCAGAAUAGUAACAACAAACAAACACCCAGGAAUAAACAGGAACAGACUCAAGAAACUCCCCAAGUGCUUAGGAGUUCAAACAGCAGGAAGUACUGAUGUAGAAUGCUUAGUAGUAGUGUAGAGAAACAGAGAGUAGUAAUAAUAGUAGCAAAGAAGACAUAGAGGUGAAUACUAAUUUUUGGUUUGCAGUCAAAAUUUGAUGAUGAAGUGAAAGGAAGAGCAUGUAUUUAUACUUGAAAUCAGACAUGCAAGCAAGGAAAGAAAAUUAGUCGAGUAUCAAUUAAGAUCAAACAACUACCAAAGGUCCUUUAAUUAAGGAAUCCCAAUUUGAUUAGUAAAGGACGAAAAAUAUUUAAGGAAAGGGGAUAAAACAGACAACAUGCACAUAGUAUACAAGUAAGGGUGAAUACAUGAAAGUUAUUUUAGGAAAAUUUUUUUUGAAAUACACGAUUUGUGUAAACAAGGUAAGAAGACCAAUUCACAAAC